CCUACGGGAGGCUUCAGUGGGGGAUUUUGCACAAUGGGCGCAAGCCUGAUGCAGCGACGCCGCGUGAGGGAUGGAGGCCUUCGGGUUGUGAACCUCUGUCGCCGGUGAUGUAGGCUCUGCUUUGUGGGUGGGGUUGACGGUAGCCGGGGUAUGAAGUGCCGGCUAACUACGUGCCAGCAGCCGCGGUAAUACGUAGGGCGCGAGCGUUGUCCGGAAUUAUUGGGCGUAAAGAGCUCGUAGGCGGCUGGUCGCGUCUGUCGUGAAAUCCUCUGGCUUAACUGGGGGCGGGCGGUGGGUACGGGCCGGCUUGAGUGCGGUAGGGGAGGCUGGAAUUCCUGGUGUAGCGGUGGAAUGCGCAGAUAUCAGGAGGAACACCGGUGGCGAAGGCGGGUCUCUGGGCCGUGUACUGACGCUGAGGAGCGAAAGCGUGGGGAGCGAACAGGAUUAGAUACCCUUGUAGUC
rnacentral:rRNA from 1 species